GCGCGAGGCUGCAGCCUUCCCCGCCCUGAGGUAUGACCUAGUCUUCUUCAAGCUGUUGUCCUGGAAUCAUGGGAGAGUGAAGAAUAAGAAAAACGUGUUGUAAUGAGAGUCUACCACGUUCCACUCAUUAUUCUAGGUGUCUGGGAUGUGGAAAGGAACAACAGAGAAGAAAUCUUCCAGGUAUGAUGGUAACCACUCAUAACCCCAGCACUCAAAAGGCAGAGGUCAGAAGUGUUCAGGGCUAGCCUGAGCUAAAUAGGAAGUGCCAAGCUGGGCAUGGUGGACUAGGACUGUAUCCUCA
rnacentral:lncRNA from 1 species